CGAGUGAGGGCCCUCUGGGUCCAACCUCCCACCCGUGUUUAUCGUACCUUGUUGCUUCGGUGGGCCCGCCUCACGGCCGCCGGGGGGCAUCUGCUCCCGGGCCCGCGCCCACCGAAGACACCUAGAACUCUGUCUGAAGAUUGAAGUCUGAGUGAAAUUAUAAAUUAUUUAAAACUUUCAACAACGGAUCUCUUGGUUCCGGCAUCGAUGAAGAACGCAGCGAAAUGCGAUACGUAAUGUGAAUUGCAGAAUUCAGUGAAUCAUCGAGUCUUUGAACGCACAUUGCGCCCUCUGGUAUUCCGGAGGGCAUGCCUGUCCGAGCGUCAUUGCUGCCCUCAAGCACGGCUUGUGUGUUGGGCCCCGUCCUCCGCUCCCGGGGGACGGGCCCGAAAGGCAGCGGCGGCACCGCGUCCGGUCCUCGAGCGUAUGGGGCUUUGUCACCCGCUCUGUAGGCCCGGCCGGCGCUUGCCGAUCAACCAAACUUUUUUCCAGGUUGACCUCGGAUCAGGUAGGGAUACCCGCUGAACUUAAGCAUAUCAAUAAGCGGAGGAAAAGAAACCAACAGGGAUUGCCCCAGUAACGGCGAGUGAAGCGGCAAGAGCUCAAAUUUGAAAGCUGGCUCCUUCGGGGUCCGCAUUGUAAUUUGCAGAGGAUGCUUCGGGAGCGGUCCCCAUCUAAGUGCC
rnacentral:rRNA from 1 species